rnacentral:rRNA from 1 species
UACGAAGGGAGCUAGCGUUGUUCGGAAUCACUGGGCGUAAAGCGCACGUAGGCGGCUGGGUCAGUCAGGGGUGAAAUCCCGGAGCUCAACUUCGGAACUGCCUUUGAUACAGCACGUCUUGAGUCCGAUAGAGGUGGGUGGAAUUCCUAGUGUAGAGGUGAAAUUCGUAGAUAUUCGCAAGAACACCAGUGGCGAAGGCGGCUGACUGGCCCGGUACUGACGCUGAGGUGCGAAAGCGUGGGGAGCAAACAGG